rnacentral:lncRNA from 1 species
CCAUGGUGGAGGACUUCAUUAACAAGGUUCUUUCAUCCUGGCUGGCAGCUCAGGUCAUUAAGCCUGGCUUGAAAGAAGUGGGAGAUGGCUUUAGGGAGAAUGCCACUCCCUGUGAGUCUCUCUUCUAAACAUUCUCCAUCCCUGUUUCUAUCCUGGGAAUAAACGUUAAGAGAUGCCCAGGUAACAAGGAAAGCCAACAUUCUGAAGGCUUCGCACGUUCUGAAAUUCCUUGCUAUGUUAACAAGAAUCAGCAUGAGAUGGCUUGACCCAGAGGGUGCAUGCCUGCAACCUCAGCACUGCAGUUACUAAGGAAGGCAGUUCUCGUGCCCAAGGCCAACCUGCACUUCAGAGCAAGAGCUUGCUUCAAAAGAACAGGGCUGGGCUGUGGAAGACGGCUUGGCAUUUGCUGUACCAACUGGUGACUCAUGUCUGAGAACCAGAUCCCACUUGGGUGGAGGAGAGAACUGACCAACUCCCAAAGUUGUUCUCUGACCGCCACAUGUAUGUCAUAGCAUGUGUACUGACUGGUUUUGCGUGUCAACUUGACACAGGCUGGAGUUGUCACAGAGAAAGGAGCUUCAGUUGGGGAAGUGUUUCCAUGAGAUCCAGCUGUGGGGUAUUUUCUCAAUUAGUGAUGGGGGGGGGGCAUUGUGGGUGGUGCCAUCCCUGGGCUGGAAGUCUUGUGUUCUAUAAAAAAAGCAAGCUGAGCAAGUUAGGGGAAGCAAACCAGAAAGAAACAUCCCUCCAUGGCCUCUGCAUCAGCUCCUGUAUCCUGACCUCUUUUGGUGAUGAACAGCAAUUUGGAAGUAUAAGCUAAGUAAACCCUUUCCUCCCCAACUUGCUUCUAGGUCAUGAUGUUUGUACAGGAAUAGAAACUCUGACUAAGACAGCAUUUGUAUGCCCAGACUCACACACCUACUCCCACAAACACGCUGCUGCUGCUACUACUACUACUACUACUACUUUACUACUAUUACAAAUAGUAAAUAUUAUGUGUUUAGUAUCACUAAGUAACUAAUAAAUUGAAAGCAUUAAAAAAAACAGCAAAAACACUCAGAAAUGUAAAAGUUUAUGUAUGUGUGUAUGUGUCUGUGUAUAAAAUACAUGUGCAUAUCACAAUCUAAAUGUGAAAUGAACUCUGCUAAACAAAUAAGUAAAUGAGUAAGUUAUGCUAGAACACUAUAAAGAAUUCUAUAUAUGCUAUUGAAGUAUAAAGUCAUUAAAAAUUAGGCUUGGGAAGGUGUUUAUUAAGAGAAAAAAUGCCUAAAAUAUAAAGAAAGGACCGUGAAAAGUCAAGGCUCAGACUGUACUCAUGACAGGAUCUUAAACACACAGCAGAUGUUUGAAUACAGAUGAAAGGCUGGAAGGAAAUUCAUCCGAAUGUGAAAUCUGAUGAACCAUGAACAUUGGUGUUGGAAGCUGUUCAAUCUGUGUCCACCAGAGAAAAAUUAGAAAAUGCAGAGCGACAUAAACAGAAAGAGUUAAAGAGGUUGACAAAAUUCAUCAUCGCGGGAGCUGUGUUUUGAAAGUGCCUGAAAGUGACAGACCUCUUCUGAGCCUAAACUCUGAGCAAGCCCAGUUCCCAAAGAUCCCCAGGCCUGUGUGUGCUAAUGGAAACUCCAGUCACUUCUUAGAACGACUUCUGGCUGAACCCCAGGACACAGCUCUCAGGACGGUGGGAUGUCAGCCCCCUAGACAAGUCAUCUUGUUCAGUUCUCCCAACCUUCCUUGGAG